rnacentral:rRNA from 1 species
UACGGAGGAUGCGAGCGUUAUCCGGAUUUAUUGGGUUUAAAGGGUGCGUAGGCGGUUCGUUAAGUCAGCGGUAAAACUGCGGGGCUCAACCCCGUCGAGCCGUUGAAACUGGCAGACUUGAGUUGGCGAGAAGUACGCGGAAUGCGCGGUGUAGCGGUGAAAUGCAUAGAUAUCGCGCAGAACUCCGAUUGCGAAGGCAGCGUACCGGCGCCAGACUGACGCUGAGGCACGAAAGCGUGGGGAUCGAACAGG